UACGUAGGGGGCAAGCGUUGUCCGGAAUUAUUGGGCGUAAAGAGCGCGUAGGCGGUCCGAUAAGUCGGGUGUGAAAGCCCCGGGCUCAACCUGGGAAUUGCAUUCGAGACUGAAUAGCUAGGGUACGGUAGAGGGAAGCGGAAUUUCCGGUGUAGCGGUGAAAUGCGUAGAUAUCGGAAGGAACAUCAGUGGCGAAAGCGGCUUCCUGGACCAGUACCGACGUUCAGGCACGAAAGCGUGGGGAGCAAACAGG
rnacentral:rRNA from 1 species